AAUGUUGAAAGGGAAGCGCUUGCAGCCAGACUUGCCUGUAGUUGCUCAUCCGGGCUUUUGCCCGGUGCACUCUUCUGCGAGCAGGCCAGCAUCAGUUUGGGCGGUUGGAUAAAGGUCUCUGUCAUGUACCUCUCUUCGGGGAGGCCUUAUAGGGGAGACGACAUGCAACCAGCCCAGACUGAGGUCCGCGCAUUUGCUAGGAUGCUGGCGUAAUGGCUGUAAGCGGCCCGUCUUGAAACACGGACCAAGGAGUCUAACAUCUAUGCGAGUGUUUGGGUGUCAAGCCCGAGCGCGCAAUGAAAGUGAACGGAGGUGGGAACCCCUCGGGGCGCACCAUCGACCGAUCCUGAUGUCUUCGGAUGGAUUUGAGUAAGAGCAUAGCUGUUGGGACCCGAAAGAUGGUGAACUAUGCUUGAAUAGGGUGAAGCCAGAGGAAACUCUGGUGGAGGCUCGCAGCGGUUCUGACGUGCAAAUCGAUCGUCAAAUUUGGGCAUAGGGGCGAAAGACUAAUCGAACUAUCUAGUAGCUGGUUCCUGCCGAAGUUUCCCUCAGGAUAGCAGUAACGUAUUCAGUUUUAUGAGGUAAAGCGAAUGAUUAGAGGCCUGGGGGUUGAAACAACCUUCACCUAUUCUCAAACUUUAAAUAUGUAAGAAGUCUUUGUUACUUGAUUGAACGUAGACACUUGAAUGUACCGUUACUAGUGGGCCAUUUUUGGUAAGCAGAACUGGCGAUGCGGGAUGAACCGAACGCGGGGUUAAGGUGCCAGAAUGCACGCUCAUCAGACACCACAAAAGGUGUUAGUUCAUCUAG
rnacentral:rRNA from 1 species